rnacentral:rRNA from 1 species
GACGAACGCUGGCGGCGUGCCUAAUACAUGCAAGUAGGACGCAGUUGCGAACGGGUGAGUAAUGCCUAGGAAUCUGCCUGGUAGUGGGGGAUAACGUCCGGAAACGGGCGCUAAUACCGCAUACUAUCAGAUGAGCCUAGGUCGGAUUAGCUAGUUGGUGGGGUAAAAGCCUACCAAGGCGACGAUCCGUAACUGGUCUGAGAGGAUGAUCAGUCACACUGGAACUGAGAUACGGCCCAGACUCCUACGGGAGGCAGCAGUGGGGGAUAUUGCACAAUGGGCGAAAGCCUGAUGCAGCGACGCCGCGUGGGGGAUGAAGGCUUUCGGGUUGUAAACCUCUUUCGCUAUCGAACGGGUAGGUGGAGAAGAAGCGCCGGCUAACUACGUGCCAGCCGCCGCGGUAAUUC